GUGAACAUAACUUUGGCUGCACAUAUACUAAAAUUGGAAUGAUACAGAGAAGAUUAGCAUGGCCCCUGUGCAAGGAUGAUACACAAAUUCAUGAAACAUUCCAUAUUUUU